CAAGAGCGUAUAUUAAAGUUGCUGCGGUUAAAAAGCUCGUAGUUGGAUUUCAGUCUAGGAAGGUUAACUCGCCGAAAGGUUGUACGUUGAUUUUCCUCAGACUUCGUCAGAAGCUCGUGCUGCACUUAACUGUGUGGUACGAUGUUCUGACCUUUUACCUUGAGGAAAGUAGAGUGUUUCAGGCAGGCUACCCAGCGUGAAUACAUUAGCAUGGAAUAAUGAAAUGGAUCUCGGUUCGAUUUCGUUGGUUCUAGAGCUGAGGUGAUGAUCAAUAGGAACAGGCGAAGGUAUUCGUACUUGAGAGUGAGGAGUGAAAUCCGAUGAUCUCUUAAAGACGAUCCGAGGCGAAAGCAUUUGUCAAGGAUGUUUUCAUUGA
rnacentral:rRNA from 1 species